GCCUCGGCGGGAUCUCUGCCCCGGGUGCGUCGCAGCCCCGGACCAAGGCGCCCGCCGGAGGACCAACCAAAAACUCUUUUUGUAUACCCCCUCGCGGGUUUUUAUAUAUCUGAGCCUUUCUCGGCGCCCCUUCGUGGGCGUUUCGAAAAUGAAUCAAAACUUUCAACAACGGAUCUCUUGGUUCUGGCAUCGAUGAAGAACGCAGCGAAAUGCGAUAAGUAAUGUGAAUUGCAGAAUUCAGUGAAUCAUCGAAUCUUUGAACGCACAUUGCGCCCGCCAGUAUUCUGGCGGGCAUGCCUGUCCGAGCGUCAUUUCAACCCUCGAACCCCUCCGGGGGGUCGGCGUUGGGGAUCGGCUCCCUCUAAACCAGGGUGCCGUCUCCGAAAUACAGUGGCGGUCUCGCCGCAGCCUCUCCUGCGCAGUAGUUUGCACACUCGCAUCGGGAGCGCGGCGCGUCCACGUCCGUAAAACAACCCAAACUUCUGAAAUGUUGACCUCGGAUCAGGUAGGAAUACCCGCUGAACUUAAGCAUAUCAAUAAGCAGAG
rnacentral:rRNA from 1 species